rnacentral:piRNA from 1 species
UAAAAAGAUAGAUGUAAAAGUACAUUAUAGC